CCUACGGGAGGCAGCUGUGGGGAAUAUUGCACAAUGGGGGAAACCCUGAUGCAGCGACGCCGCGUGAGUGAAGAAGUAAUUCGUUACGUAAAGCUCUAUCAGCAGGGAAGAAACACUGACCUUACGGUCAGCAGACGGUACCUGUGUAAGAAGCCCCGGCUAACUACGUGCCAGCAGCCGCGGUAAUACGUAGGGGGCAAGCGUUAUCCGGAUUUACUGGGUGUAAAGGGAGCGGAGACGGUGUGCCAAGUGUGGUGUGAAAUGCCGCAGCUUAACUGCGGAACUGCAUUGGAUACUGGCGAUCUAGAGUGCAGGUGAGGUAAGCGGAAUUCGUGGUGUAGCGGUGAAAUGCGUAGAUAUUAGGAAGAACACCGGGGGCGAAGGCGGCUUACUGGACCGCAACUGACGUUGAGGCUCGAAAGCGUGGGGAGCAAACAGGAUUAGAUACCCCUGUAGUC
rnacentral:rRNA from 1 species